rnacentral:rRNA from 1 species
AGCAAUAUUGUCUUAGUGGCGAACGGGUGAGUAACGCGUUGGUGACCUGCCUCGAAGAGGGGGAUAACAGUUCGAAAGGAUUGCUAAUACCUCAUGUGGUUGCUUGGGUUAGAGACCUUGCAACUAAACGGAUUUAUUCGCUUCGAGAGGGGCCUGCGUCCCAUCAGCUAGUUGGUAGGGUAAUGGCCUACCAAGGCGAUGACGGGUAGGGGACCUGAGAGGGUGGCCCCCCACAAUGGAACUGAAACACGGUCCAUACACCUACGGGUGGCAGCAGUAGGGAAUAUUGGUUAAUCUGGGAAACCGGGAACCAGCAACGCCGCGUGCGCGAUGAAGGCCUUCGGGUUGUAAAGCGCUUUUAGAGAGGAUGAGGAAGGACAGUACUCUCUGAAUAAGCCUCGGCUAACUACGUGCCAGCAGCCGCGGUAAAACGUAGGAGGCGAGCGUUAUCCGGAUUUACUGGGCGUAAAGCGCGUGUAGGCGGUUUGAUAAGUUGGAUGUGAAAGCUCCUGGCUUAACUGGGAGAGGUCGUUCAAAACUGUCAGACUUGAGAGUGGUAGAGGGAGGUGGAAUUCCGGGUGUAGUGGUGAAAUGCGUAGAUAUCCGGAGGAACACCAGUGGCGAAAGCGGCCUCCUGGACCAUUUCUGACGCUCAGACGCGAAAGCUAGGGUAGCAAACGGGAUUAGAGACCCCGGUAGUCCUAGCUGUAAACGAUGUGAACUUGGCGUCGGUGGGUUCAAAUCCAUCGGUGCCGAAGCUAACGCGAUAAGUUCACCGCCUGGGGACUACGGCCGCAAGGUUAAAACUCAAAG